GAACAGUAUCACUUUCAAAUCCACAGUGAAAUCCAUACAAACUUGUGAAAAGACUGACAGCAGGAGAGGAAUUUUACUAGCAAAUGAAAUCCAGGUAUCAGGACUGAAAGCAGGACUGGAUUUCCAGUGGAAUUCAGACAGGACCCUGGCAGAGAAGACGGUGCCAACAGCAAAUUAAAGACGCUACCUCUGAGUUAAAUACGGCAUGCAAGGCUAUGGGUUUUGAUGAGCAUUGUGCACUCCCUCUUCAAGAAUAUCUGGGCAGGAAUGGAGUUAGGAAGAAGGGCAGAAAGUCAGCACCUGUGAAUUACUCUGCUGUCUGCUGCCUGGACCUGUUAAAUGAUCACCUCAGUCAACCAGAAGCAGACCCACAAGGAUCUCCUCCAACUUGCCUACACCCCUCCACACUGGAUGCCUAAAGAUCAAGAGCAUGAGUCUGAAAUGUAACCAAAAGAACAAAAGACUUCUCAAACAACUACAAAAGGUUUGCCCAUAACCAAUUUAUGUAUGGUCCAUGGA